rnacentral:rRNA from 1 species
AGUGAACGCUGGCGGUAGGCCUAACACAUGCAAGUCGAACGGCAGCACAGUAAGAGCUUGCUCUUACGGGUGGCGAGUGGCGGACGGGUGAGGAAUACAUCGGAAUCUACUUUUUCGUGGGGGAUAACGUAGGGAAACUUACGCUAAUACCGCAUACGACCUACGGGUGAAAGCAGGGGAUCUUCGGACCUUGCGCGAUUGAAUGAGCCGAUGUCGGAUUAGCUAGUUGGCGGGGUAAAGGCCCACCAAGGCGACGAUCCGUAGCUGGUCUGAGAGGAUGAUCAGCCACACUGGAACUGAGACACGGUCCAGACUCCUACGGGAGGCCGCAGUGGGGAAUAUUGGACAAUGGGCGCAAGCCUGAUCCAGCCAUACCGCGUGGGUGAAGAAGGCGUUCGGGUUGUAAAGCCCUUUUGUUGGGAAAGAAAAGCAGCAGGUUAAUACCCCGCUGUUCUGACGGUACCCAAAGAAUAAGCACCGGCUAACUUCGUG